UAAGGAAUAUUGGUCAAUGGAGGCAACUCUGAACCAGCCAUGCCGCGUGCAGGAAGAAGGCCCUAUGGGUCGUAAACUGCUUUUGAACAAGAGAAAACCCCGGUACGUGUACUGGGUUGAUAGUAUUGUUAGAAUAAGCAUCGGCUAACUUCGUGCCAGCAGCCGCGGUAAGACGAAGGAUGCAAGCGUUAUCCGGAUUCAUUGGGUUUAAAGGGUGCGUAGGCGGACUGAUAAGUCAGUGGUGAAAUCUCUCGGCUUAACUGAGAAACUGCCAUUGAUACUGUUAGUCUAGAGUACAGAUGAUGUGGGCGGAAUAUGACAUGUAGUGGUGAAAUACUUAGAUAUGUCAUAGAACACCGAUUGCGAAGGCAGCUCACAAAACUGUAACUGACGCUGAGGCACGAAAGUGCGGGGAUCAAACAGGAUUAGAUACCCCCGUAGUCCCUGAGCGGGCUGGCAAGGCGCAU
rnacentral:rRNA from 1 species